UGAUGGCUUUGUUGAUAUGAAGCAUCCCAACGAAGCUAGUGCAUUCAUUGGUGGUCACUUGGAUAAUCAUAUGCCAUUGACGCGUAGUUUCAGAGAGUGGAGCGAUGAAGAUGAAGAAGUUGAAGAGGCUAGGAUAAGACAUAUGUACAAGGGCCAAGAAAAACCAGGUUUUGUGAAGAAACUAUUGAGCAAACUCCCUCCAGAUGUGAGACGAAGAUGCAUGAAAAAGAAGCUUAAGAGCAAUGAAACGAAGGUGCCAGAAGAGUAAAAGAAC